GCACUUCAGCAGCACCUCCACUAAAAGUGGAACCACACAGAGAUUAAGCGUUGUCCUUGCACAAGGAUGACCCAUAUACAUCCAUAUUUUUUAAAAAAUAUU